rnacentral:rRNA from 1 species
GAUGAACGCUGGCGGCGUGCCUAACACAUGCAAGUCGAACGGAGAUUACGGACGGAAGUUUUCGGAUGGAAGACUGUAAUUCUUAGUGGCGGACGGGUGAGUAACGCGUGGGCAACCUGCCCUAUACAGGGGGAUAGCAGCUGGAAACGGCUGGUAAGACCGCAUAAGUCGGUUAAAUCGCAUGAUUUGAUCGGGAAAUGAGCAAUCAGGUAUAGGAUGGGCCCGCGUCCGAUUAGCCAGUUGGCAGGGUAAAAGCCUACCAAAGCGACGAUCGGUAGCCGGACUGAGAGGUCGGACGGCCACAUUGGGACUGAGACACGGCCCAAACUCCUACGGGAGGCAGCAGUGGGGGAUAUUGCACAAUGGAGGAAACUCUGAUGCAGCGACGCCGCGUGAGUGAAGAAGUAUUUCGGUAUGUAAAGCUCUAUCAGCAGGGAAGAUGAUGACGGUAC